rnacentral:rRNA from 1 species
GGCUCAGGAUGAACGCUGGCGGCGUGCCUAAUACAUGCAAGUCGAGCGAACUGAUUAGAAGCUUGCUUCUAUGACGUUAGCGGCGGACGGGUGAGUAACACGUGGGCAACCUGCCUGUAAGACUGGGAUAACUUCGGGAAACCGAAGCUAAUACCGGAUAGGAUCUUCUCCUUCAUGGGAGAUGAUUGAAAGAUGGUUUCGGCUAUCACUUACAGAUGGGCCCGCGGUGCAUUAGCUAGUUGGUGAGGUAACGGCUCACCAAGGCAACGAUGCAUAGCCGACCUGAGAGGGUGAUCGGCCACACUGGGACUGAGACACGGCCCAGACUCCUACGGGAGGCAGCAGUAGGGAAUCUUCCGCAAUGGACGAAAGUCUGACGGAGCAACGCCGCGUGAGUGAUGAAGGCUUUCGGGUCGUAAAACUCUGUUGUUAGGGAAGAACAAGUACAAGAGUAACUGCUUGUACCUUGACGGUACCUAACCAGAAAGCCACGGCUAACUACGUGCCAGCAGCCGCGGUAAUACGUAGGUGGCAAGCGUUAUCCGGAAUUAUUGGGCGUAAAGCGCGCGCAGGCGGUUUCUUAAGUCUGAUGUGAAAGCCCACGGCUCAACCGUGGAGGGUCAUUGGAAACUGGGGAACUUGAGUGCAGAAGAGAAAAGCGGAAUUCCACGUGUAGCGGUGAAAUGCGUAGAGAUGUGGAGGAACACCAGUGGCGAA